UACGUAGGGUCCAAGCGCUAUCCGGAAUUACUGGGCGUAAAGAGUUGCGUAGGUGGCAUAGAAAGCGGAUAGUGAAAGCGUGUGGCUCAACCAUACAUCCAUUAUCUGAACUACUAAGCUAGAGGACGAGAGAGGUAGAUGGAAUUCCUGAUGUAGGGGUAAUAUCCGUAGAUAUCAGGAGGAACACCGAUGGCGUAAGCAGUCUACUGGCUCGUUCCUGACACUAAGGCACGAAAGCGUGGGGAGCAAACGGG
rnacentral:rRNA from 1 species